UGUAAUGAAUGUCUUGUGAGCGCGGCGGCUAUCCCCUUAAUCCUCUUUAGCGUAUGCUAAACUGACUGUCAACUUUAUUCCUUCCAUCUCAAUAGUUCACCAUAUUCUAAUAAAUCUUUGGAGUUUUUACUAGAUCGGUCAUCAUAUCUUGCCCGUCACUUGGUCUCCUGAUGCCCAUGGCUCGUGUAGUUCGAAGCCUUUAAUCAACGUUACCAUUUCGUAACACCGGAGGGAAAGGCAUGAUGAAUGAGAAUCCGGCGUCGGAACAAUAAGCUUUGUGCGCCUUCGUCCUAUUCGGGUCACCUGACUGCAUUUAUUGUGACGUAGGCGCAACCUAAGGAGGCCAGACAUGUAUAUCUUUUAUUCUCUCUUUCCAUCUCAGUCUUUCACUAUAUUCUUAUAAAUAGUUGAAACUUUUACAGCGAUUCUUCAUUUCUAUCCCAUUGCCUUGUCUCCUGAUGCCCAUGGCGAUCGUCUAGCCCGAAGCAUUUAGGCAAUACUACCUUUUCAAACACCGGACGGCAAGCCACGAGAAACAAGGAUACGGCGUCGGAACACUAAGGUACCGAGACCAGCGGUGGGUAUUCUAGCGCUUAUCAACGUUUCAGCAGUGGGAAUUUUGUUGGCAGCGCACAUUGCACUUGUAGCAACUGAUCUUCAGGAGGACUGCCCCUUGAGGAGCAGCCGUCGAGGCUGCAUAUAUAGGGGUUACAUUAUUCCUGCGACACAAAGCAGGAACUUGCAUCGUCCCUGUGUACAUGCUCAAUGCAGCAGCAAUGGGCACAGACUUACACUGACAGGGUGCCAAGAAACCGCUGGAAACUGCUCGGACGCCCCGGGGGGGCCAAGUAUUGAUCCAAGAGAAUGGCCUCGCUGCUGUGCUAAUUGCCCUCGAGUACAGAUAAAUGCUUGAAAAGACGCCGCUGAGAAUUAACGCAGUCCAAUGAAAUUGUCAUGCCUUCAUAAAAGUGAUAUCAUCCGGCAUGAAGGAUGUCCGUACGUUUAUUUACUAUAAUGUUAGCCAGCAUCACUUUGUCUAGGGCAUUGUGCUUAAUAAA
rnacentral:lncRNA from 1 species